AGGGCACCACCAGGAGUGGAGCCUGCGGUUUAAUUUGACUCAACACGGGAAAACUCACCCGGCCCGGACACUGGAAGGAUUGACAGAUUGAGAGCUCUUUCUUGAUUCAGUGGGUGGUGGUGCAUGGCCGUUCUUAGUUGGUGGAGUGAUUUGUCUGGUUAAUUCCGAUAACGAACGAGACUCUAGCCUACUAAAUAGAUCGUCGGCUUACAAACGCCGGCGAGACUUCUUAGAGGGACAAACGGUGAUUCAACCGUACGAAACAGAGCAAUAACAGGUCUGUGAUGCCCUUAGAUGUCCGGGGCCGCACGCGCGCUACACUGAAGUGAUCAGCGUGCUUUUUCAACCUACUCUGUCAAGAGUGGGGAACCCAAUGAACCUUCUUCGUGAUUGGGAUAGGGGAUUGUAAUUAUUCCCCUUGAACGAGGAAUUCCCAGUAAGCGCGAGUCAUAAGCUCGCGUUGAUUACGUCCCUGCCCUUUGUACACACCGCCCGUCGCUACUACCGAUUGAAUGUUUU
rnacentral:rRNA from 1 species